ACCUGAAACCGUGUACGUACAAGCAGUGGGAGCACCCUUUGGGGUGUGACUGCGUACCUUUUGUAUAAUGGGUCAGCGACUUAUAUUCUGUAGCAAGGUUAACCGUAUAGGGGAGCCGGAGGGAAACCGAGUCUUAAUUGGGCGUUAAGUUGCAGGGUAUAGACCCGAAACCCGGUGAUCUAGCCAUGGGCAGGUUGAAGGUUGGGUAACACUAACUGGAGGACCGAACCGACUAAUGUUGAAAAAUUAGCGGAUGACCUGUGGCUGGGGGUGAAAGGCCAAUCAAACCGGGAGAUAGCUGGUUCUCCCCGAAAGCUAUUUAGGUAGCGCCUCGUGAAUUCAUCUCCGGGGGUAGAGCACUGUUUCGGCUAGGGGGCCAUCCCGGCUUACCAACCCGAUGCAAACUGCGAAUACCGGAGAAUGUUAUCACGGGAGACACACGGCGGGUGCUAACGUCCGUCGUGAAGAGGGAAACAACCCAGACCGCCAGCUAAGGUCCCAAAGUCAUGGUUAAGUGGGAAACGAUGUGGGAAGGCCCAGACAGCCAGGAUGUUGGCUUAGAAGCAGCCAUCAUUUAAAGAAAGCGUAAUAGCUCACUGGUCGAGUCGGCCUGCGCGGAAGAUGUAACGGGGCUAAACCAU
rnacentral:rRNA from 1 species